GAAUUGACGGGGGCCCGCACAAGCGGUGGAGCAUGUGGUUUAAUUCGAUGCAACGCGAAGAACCUUACCUGGUCUUGACAUCCACGGAAGUUUUCAGAGAUGAGAAUGUGCCUUCGGGAACCGUGAGACAGGUGCUGCAUGGCUGUCGUCAGCUCGUGUUGUGAAAUGUUGGGUUAAGUCCCGCAACGAGCGCAACCCUUAUCCUUUGUUGCCAGCGGUCCGGCCGGGAACUCAAAGGAGACUGCCAGUGAUAAACUGGAGGAAGGUGGGGAUGACGUCAAGUCAUCAUGGCCCUUACGACCAGGGCUACACACGUGCUACAAUGGCGCAUACAAAGAGAAGCGACCUCGCGAGAGCAAGCGGACCUCAUAAAGUGCGUCGUAGUCCGGAUUGGAGUCUGCAACUCGACUCCAUGAAGUCGGAAUCGCUAGUAAUCGUGGAUCAGAAUGCCACGGUGAAUACGUUCCCGGGCCUUGUACACACCGCCCGUCACACCAUGGGAGUGGGUUGCAAAAGAAGUAGGUAGCUUAACCUUCGGGAGGGCGCUUACCACUUUGUGAUUCAUGACUGGGGUGAAGUCGUAACAAGGUAACCGUAGGGGAACCUGCGGUUGGAUCACCUCCUU
rnacentral:rRNA from 1 species